UACGUAGGGUCCGAGCGUUGUCCGGAAUUAUUGGGCGUAAAGAGCUCGUAGGCGGUUCGUCGCGUCGGCUGUGAAAUCCCGAGGCUCAACCUCGGGUCUGCAGUCGAUACGGGCGGACUGGAGUUCGGCAGGGGAGACUGGAAUUCCUGGUGUAGCGGUGAAAUGCGCAGAUAUCAGGAGGAACACCGGUGGCGAAGGCGGGGCUCUGGGCCGAUACUGACGCUGAGGGGCGAAAGCGUGGGGAGCGAACAGG
rnacentral:rRNA from 1 species